CUGUCUUUGUCUGAUCCCUUGUUAUUCAACUGCCCGUGUGAUUGAUUCUCUGAUCCACCCCACUUACAGCUCAACAUUGAAGUGAUAUCUAGAGAGAGCGAGAGGAAAAUCCAUUUUCCAUAUUAACUUGGGUUUUUUUUCUCUCAUUCAAGAAAAGAAUCUAAACCCACUACCCUAAAGACUAUUUUUUUUUAUCCCACAUACAUUUUUUUCCUAUAAUAAAUAGUCCCUAUAUUUUUGUACACCCAAUUCUUUAUAGUACUAAUAAUAUAAUGUGUAUGUAUCUGUGUGUUUGUACAUCAUUUUCAGUCAUUCUUUAAUUAAUGGGUGUUCAAGAACAGUAGAAGAAAGAGGAGAAAUAAAAGGCUUUUGCUUUUUCUUGAAUGUGUAAUGUAAUGAGGUCUUGUUGAGUGAUUUCUUAGUGUAUUAUUUGGGUAAUGUUUUGUGUGUAAAAGGUGUUUUGAAGUUGAGAUUUGGGAGUUGAAAUGGAUACUAAAGGGAGGCUUAUAGCUGGUUCACAUAAUAGGAAUGAGUUUGUUCUCAUCAAUGCUGAUGAAGUUGGAAGAGUAACUUCUGUAAAAGAAUUAAGUGGGCAGAUUUGCCAGAUUUGUGGAGAUGAGAUUGAGAUUACAGUAGAUGAGGAGCCAUUUGUUGCUUGCAAUGAAUGUGCAUUCCCUGUUUGCAGACCCUGCUAUGAGUAUGAAAGGAGAGAGGGGAAUCAAGCUUGCCCUCAAUGCAAAACACGGUACAAGCGUAUCAAAGGAAGUCCCCGAGUUGAAGGGGAUGAUGAAGAAGAUGAAUUUGAUGAUUUGGACAAUGAGUUUGACCCUCAACAAACUGCUGAGGCUGCCCUUUCAGCUCGUCUUAGCAUUGGUCGGGGCCAUCCUAAUGCUUCCGGGACUGCUACCCCUUCGGAGAUGGAUCCUGCUGCCCUUGGCACUGAGAUCCCUCUUCUUACUUAUGGUCAAGAGGAUGAUACAAUUUCAGCUGACAAGCAUGCUCUUAUCAUCCCACCGUUUAUGAGUCGUGGAAAGAAAGUUCAUCCAGUUUCGGAUUCUUCCAUGUCUUUGCCUCCUCGACCUAUGGAUCCUAAGAAAGAUCUGGCGGUUUACGGGUAUGGUAGUGUUGCAUGGAAGGAGAGAAUGGAGGAUUGGAAGAAAAAACAAAAUGAUAAAUUACAGAUGGUUAAGCAUGAAGGAGGUGGUGGUUACGGUGACGGAGAUGAGCUGGAUCCUGAUCUGCCCAAAUUCACUAUCCAUUGGAGUCCUCUGAAGUAGGCACAAAGCACAUNGUCUAGCAAGCUAAGCCCAUACAGAUUGAUGAUUUUACUUCGACUUGCAAUUCUUGGGCUCUUUUUCCACUAUAGAAUAAUGCAUCCCGUCCAUGAUGCUUAUGGAUUGUGGCUGGUGUCUAUUAUAUGUGAAAUAUGGUUUGCCGUAUCCUGGAUAUUUGAUCAGUUCCCCAAAUGGUUACCUAUUAAGCGAGAGACGUACCUAGAUAGGCUAUCACUAAGGUAUGAGAAAGAAGGGAAGCCUUCUGAGUUAGCCCAUAUCGACGUUUUUGUUAGUACUGUGGAUCCGUUGAAAGAGCCUCCACUUAUUACUGCAAAUACUGUUCUCUCCAUUCUUGCUGUGGAUUAUCCGGUGGACAAGGUUGCAUGCUAUGUCUCUGAUGAUGGUGCCGCCAUGCUUACUUUUGAGGCACUAUCUGAGACAUCCGAGUUUGCAAGGAAAUGGGUCCCGUUCUGCAAGAAAUUCAGCAUAGAGCCUCGAGCCCCCGAGUGGUAUUUUGCUCAGAAGGUUGAUUAUUUGAAGAACAAAGUAAAUCCAUCAUUUGUGAGGGAACGCCGUGCCAUGAAGAGAGACUAUGAAGAAUUUAAGGUUCGAAUAAAUGGAUUGGUUUCCAUGGCACAAAAGGUUCCUGAGGAUGGUUGGACCAUGCAAGAUGGAACCCCUUGGCCGGGGAAUAAUGUCAGGGAUCACCCCGGGAUGAUCCAGGUCUUCCUGGGUCAUGAUGGUGUCCGUGAUAUUGAAGGGAAGGUUCUGCCUCGCCUUGUUUAUGUUUCUCGUGAGAAGAGGCCAGGGUUUGAUCACCACAAAAAGGCCGGUGCCAUGAAUGCUUUGAUGCGGGUGUCGGCGGUCAUCUCAAAUGCUCCUUAUUUACUCAACGUGGAUUGUGAUCACUAUAUAAAUAACAGUAAGGCACUGCGAGAAGCUAUGUGCUUUAUGAUGGACCCCACUUCAGGAAAGAAAAUAUGCUAUGUACAAUUUCCUCAAAGAUUUGAUGGCAUUGAUCGACAUGAUAGAUACUCAAACCGCAAUGUGGUCUUCUUUGAUAUAAACAUGAAAGGACUUGAUGGGAUCCAGGGUCCAAUUUAUGUGGGAACUGGAUGCGUCUUCAGGAGGCAAGCACUCUAUGGAUAUGAUGCUCCAAAGAAGGCAAAGCCUCCAGGAAAAACGUGCAAUUGUUGGCCAAACUGGUGUUGCUUUUGUUGUAAAUCUCGAAAGAAGCAUAAGAAAGGGAAAACGAGCAAGGAUAAAAAGAAGAUUAAAGGCAAGGAUGCUUCGACUCAGAUUCAUGCUCUUGAGAAUAUUGAGGAAGGAAUUGAAGGAAUAGAUAAUGAAAAAGCAUUACUCAUGCCCCAAAUAAAACUCGAAAAGAAAUUUGGACAAUCACCAGUAUUUGUUGCUUCAACACUUUUAGAAGAUGGCGGUGUUCCUCUAGGAGCAACCUCAGCAUCUCUCCUGAAAGAAGCCAUCCAUGUUAUUAGUUGUGGUUAUGAAGACAAAACAGAGUGGGGUAAAGAGGUUGGAUGGAUUUAUGGAUCUGUUACUGAGGAUAUCUUAACUGGGUUCAAGAUGCACUGCCAUGGUUGGAGGUCUGUGUACUGCAUGCCGAAAAGGCCUGCAUUUAAGGGGUCAGCUCCUAUCAAUCUUUCAGAUCGUCUGCAUCAGGUUCUGCGGUGGGCCUUGGGAUCUGUUGAGAUUUUCUUUAGUAGACAUUGUCCCAUUUGGUAUGGAUAUGGGUGUGGUCUGAAACCAUUGGAGCGGUUUUCGUACGUAAAUUCAGUUGUCUAUCCAUUGACUUCCAUCCCUCUGAUUGCAUAUUGUACAUUGCCAGCAUUCUGUUUGCUUACUGGGAAAUUCAUCGUUCCAGAGCUUACCAACUACGCUAGCAUUGUGUUCAUGGCACUUUUUAUAUCAAUUGCUGCGACUACUAUUCUGGAGAUAAGGUGGGGAGAUGUUGGCAUAGACGACAUGUGGAGAAAUGAGCAAUUCUGGGUUAUUGGUGGUGUCUCGUCCCACUUUUUUGCUCUUAUCCAAGGUCUUCUUAAAGUUUUGGCUGGUGUCAACACAAAUUUCACUGUCACAUCAAAAGCAGCAGAUGACGGGGAGUUUUCUGAGCUUUACCUCUUCAAGUGGACAUCCUUGUUGAUCGUUCCGAUGACCUUGUUAAUUAUUAACAUCAUAGGAGUUGUAGUUGGAGUUUCAGAUGCAAUCAACAACGGAUAUGAUUCGUGGGGUCCUUUAUUCGGCAAGCUUUUCUUUGCCUUAUGGGUCAUUGUUCAUUUGUACCCCUUCCUCAAAGGUUUGAUGGGGAAACAAAGCAAUGUUCCAACUAUCAUUGUUGUGUGGUCUAUCCUUCUGGCUUCUAUCCUUUCGUUGUUGUGGGUCCGAAUCAAUCCGUUCGUGUCAAGAGAUGGACUCGUGUUAGAAGUAUGUGGGUUGGACUGCGAGUAAGAUCAAGAAAUAGGACACGAAGUGUAUAUGAGAAGGAAAAGUUCAAGUGGGGGGAAGAAGUUCAAUCCCCUAACACUAUUGUUUUGAUCAUCAAUGAAUAUGAGGAAGAGCUCUAGUGGUUUUGUAUAGAUUGAAAGGCAGGUAGCAGACAUUGAUAUUUGUUUUGCAAAGUGUUUCUUGAUUCUUUUUUGAUACAUUUUGGGAUUUGUUGCUUGGGAGUUGGAAGGGGGAAGGGGUGGAGUUCCAAUAUUUGUAAUCCCAACAGAAGAUAAGAUUAGUUGUCAUAUCCCCUUCUCAAUAAGGGAUAUCACACGGAAAUGUUUUUUCAUCAGUAAUUAAGGACUUUGUUCCACUGUUACCAUUCUAAAGAAAGUGAAAUUGGAUUCUGGUGUUUUGUUCUAUAACUAUUGUAUUUUUGUCAUCA